GUGUCAGCAGCCGCGGUAAUACAGAGGUCCCAAGCGUUGUUCGGAUUCACUGGGCGUAAAGGGUGCGUAGGUGGUGAGGUAAGUCGGAUGUGAAAUCUCUGAGCUCAACUCAGAAAUGGCAUUGGAAACUACCUUGCUAGAGGAUUGGAGGGGGGACUGGAAUUCUCGGUGUAGCAGUGAAAUGCGUAGAGAUCGAGAGGAACACCAGUGGCGAAGGCGAGUCCCUGGACAAUUCCUGACGCUGAGGCACGAAAGCUAGGGGAGCAAACAGGAUUAGAUACCCGCGUAGUCC
rnacentral:rRNA from 1 species